rnacentral:rRNA from 1 species
GAUGAACGCUAGCUACAGGCUUAACACAUGCAAGUCGAGGGGUCUUUUGGAGCUUGCUUUAAAAGACGACCGGCGCACGGGUGAGUAACGCGUAUCUAACCUGCCCUUCAUAUUGGGAUAGCCUUCCGAAAGGAAGAUUAAUACCGAAUAACAUGAUAGAGUUGCCUGAUUUUAUCAUGAAAGCUCCGGCGAUGAAGGAUGGGGAUGCGUUCCAUUAGGUAGUAGGCGGGGUAACGGCCCACCUAGCCGACGAUGGAUAGGGGUUCUGAGAGGAAGGUCCCCCACACUGGAACUGAGACACGGUCCAGACUCCUACGGGAGGCAGCGGUGAGGAAUAUUGGUCAAUGGGCGCAAGCCUGAACCAGCCAAGUAGCGUGAAGGAUGACUGCCCUAUGGGUUGUAAACUUCUUUUAUACGGGAACAAACCCCGGUACGUGUACCGGAUUGCGUGUACCGUAUGAACAAGCAUCGGCUAACUCCGUGCCAGCAGCCGCCGCGGUAA